AAAUUGGUUUCAGCAGAAACCAGGGAAAGCCCCUAAGCUCCUGAUCUAUGAUGCAACCACUUUGCAAAGUGGGGUCCCAUCAAGGUUCAGCGGCAGUGGAUCUGGGACGGAAUUCACUCUCACCAUCAGCAGCCUGCAGCCUGAAGAUUUUGCAACUUAUUACUGUCAACAGAUUUACAAUAACCC